ACGGGUGAGUAACACGUGGGCAACCUGCCCUUGAGACUGGGAUAACUUCGGGAAACCGGAGCUAAUACCGGAUAAUAUAAGGAACCUCCUGGUUCCUUGUUGAAAGAUGGUUUCGGCUAUCACUUAAGGAUGGGCCCGCGGCGCAUUAGCUAGUUGGUGAGGUAACGGCUCACCAAGGCGACGAUGCGUAGCCGACCUGAGAGGGUGAUCGGCCACACUGGGACUGAGACACGGCCCAGACUCCUACGGGAGGCAGCAGUAGGGAAUCUUCCACAAUGGACGAAAGUCUGAUGGAGCAACGCCGCGUGAGUGAUGAAGGCCUUCGGGUCGUAAAGCUCUGUUGUUAGGGAAGAACAAGUGCGAGAGUAACUGCUCGCACCUUGACGGUACCUAACCAGAAAGCCACGGCUAACUACGUGCCAGCAGCCGCGGUAAUACGAAGGUGGCAAGCGUUAUCCGGAAUUAUUGGGCGUAAAGCGCGCGCAGGUGGUUUCUUAAGUCUGAUGUGAAAGCCCACGGCUCAACCGUGGAGGGUCAUUGGAAACUGGGGAACUUGAGUGCAGAAGAGGAAAGUGGAAUUC
rnacentral:rRNA from 1 species